rnacentral:rRNA from 1 species
AUUGAACGCUGGCGGCGUGCCUAACACAUGCAAGUCGAGCGAGAUAAAUGUGAGUGGAGACUUCGGUCAAAGCAAUCAUUUUGAAAGCGGCGGACGGGUGAGUAACGCGUGAGCAAUCUGCCCCAUACAAAGGGAUACCCACUGGAAACGGUGAUUAAUACCUUAUAAGACCACGAAGUCGCCUGGCUUAGUGGCCAAAGAUUUAUCGGUAUGGGAUGAGCUCGCGUCUGAUUAGCUAGUUGGUGAGGUAAUGGCUCACCAAGGCGACGAUCAGUAGCCGACCUGAGAGGGUGAACGGCCACACUGGAACUGAGACACGGUCCAGACUCCUACGGGAGGCAGCAGUGGGGAAUAUUGCACAAUGGGCGCAAGCCUGAUGCAGCAACGCCGCGUGAAUGAUGAAGGCCUUCGGGUCGUAAAGUUCUGUCCUAAGGGAAGAAUACAGUGACGGUACCUUAGGAGGAAGCCCCGGCUAACUACGUGCCAGCCGCCGCCGUAA